rnacentral:rRNA from 1 species
GACAGAGGGUGCAAACGUUGUUCGGAUUUACUGGGCGUAAAGCGCGUGUAGGCGGCUUUGCAAGUCGGAUGUGAAAGCCCACGGCUCAACCGUGGAAGUGCAUCCGAAACUGCAUGGCUGGAGUCUCGGAGAGGAAGGUGGAAUGCUUGGUGUAGAGGUGAAAUUCGUAGAUAUCAAGCAGAACACCGGUGGCGAAGGCGGGUCUCUGGGCCGAUACUGACGCUGAGGAGCGAAAGCGUGGGGAGCGAACAGG